AUGUCUGGCCUGAAGCUUAGAGAAGCCGGUUCCACGGGGAGAAGCCAGCGGGACUGCCUUUGGACUCCAGAGUCUGAACUGGCUCCCCAAUCCGUCGCUGCCUCUCAGUGUGCGCUUAAUAGACAUUUAUGGAAUACUUCUUACUGGCCACCUGUUGGCCGGAAUAAGCUGGUCCCCGCGCGUGCUUGUUUCUCAGGUGUCUAUACUGGGGUGAAUCUGAAGACAGACCUUUGGAUCUGUGAUCUUUGGAUCGGUGGUCUGGAUGUUCAACAUCAGGGAUGUCUCAAGCACCUGGUCAUAAAAGUUAAUGGAGCCCCCCCUUCUCGUGUCUGGAGUCGCCAGAUGGAACACGGACGCCCAGUGAAAUCUGAAUGUCAGAUAGACAAGAAAUGACGUUUUCAUGUAAGUAUGUUCCCGGUAUUACUGCUUUCCCCUCCCUCUCUUAGCUUAGAGUCAUUGUUGUUUUUGCAAAUAACCUUUCUACGUUGGAAUGACCAAUCUAAUUGCUGAGAAGCAGCAGACGUAAUACUUGGGAGUUCUCGGGUCCCCUUUGCCCAAAGUGAGCAUCUUACGGGGAUCACAGCCCACGGCACAUUUGUCCACACCGAGAAAUUGACGGUGGGACGGUGUUAUUGACUAACUCAGACCUCAUUAGGAUGCGCCUGCGGAUUUUCCCCCAAACUUUCUCUUUCGGUUCCGGGAUGGGACCUGGCAUUUAGUCCUCACGACGGCCCGGUCUCGUCUGGUCUGUGACACUUUCUUUGCUUUUCUCAUGACCUUAGCAGAAUUUUGGAGCACUGGCCAGGUAACUCCACCCCCACCCCCACCCCCACCCCCAGGACGUCCAAACGUCCCCCGGUCUGGGAUUAUCUGAUGUUUUCUUGGGAUUAGACUGGGAGCUGGGUAUUUUGGAGAGAAAACUACCCAGAGGUGGGAGGGGGUGGGGUGGCACAUCCCCUCAUUCCAGUGGUACUUGCCCUGCACACGACUGGUCGCCGUGAUGCCGACCCUGUGCUUUGUGGCCGGGGGCACCGAAUGAACAUUUCGCAAGCGCCUUUUGGAGCCAGAGGGAGUUUCAGUUCCUUGACACCAGAAUAUGACGAGAGCAGUCGGUCAGGCCCCGGGAUGCAAGCCCCUUCCAGGGGUUGCUUGGCCGGAAGACGGAGAAAAGGGGUAUAAAGAGCUUUGCCAGCUGCAGAGCCUGGAACCCCGGGAUGGUCCUCUGAUCUUCUUCCUACACGGUUCCCCGAGGGGGGUGCUUUACAGCCUCGGUGGAGGGAUGAGUGGCAGGUGCUUCCAAGAGACACGUCUGAAGCAUGCUUCUCUCGAACACAGCCUGUAGAACAUGGACUGGGCCAUUUUCAUGCUCGGACUUGAUUGACCCGGCACAGCA
rnacentral:lncRNA from 1 species